rnacentral:rRNA from 2 species
UUUCCGGUGGCUAUAGCGAAGGGGAACCACCCGUACCCAUCCCGAACACGGUAGUUAAGCCCUUCAGCGCUGAUGAUACUUCGGGGGAGACCCCGCGGGAAAGUAAGUCGCUGCCGGAAUU